GCCCGAAUAGCUCAGCGGUAGAGCACCUCGUUUACACCGAGAUUGUCGGGGGUUCGAUCCCCUCUUCGGGCA
rnacentral:tRNA from 3 species